rnacentral:rRNA from 1 species
UGAGGAAUAUUGAGCAAUGGGCGCAAGCCUGACUCAGCAACGCCGCGUGGAUGAUGACGGCCUUCGGGUUGUAAAAUCCUUUUCUGGGGGAAGAUAAUGACGGUACCCCAGGAAUAAGUUCCGGCUAACUACGUGCCAGCAGCCGCGGUAAAACGUAGGGGACAAGCGUUAUCCGGAUUUACUGGGCGUAAAGCGCAUGUAGGUGGCUUGACAAGUUGGACGUGAAAGCUCCCGGCUUAACUGGGAGAGGUCGUUCAAAACUGGCAAGCUUGAGGUUGGAAGAGGAGAGCAGAAUUCCCGGUGUAGUGGUGGAAUGCGUAGAUAUCGGGAGGAAUACCAGUGGCGAAAGCGGCUCUCUGGUUCAAUACUGACACUGAGAUGCGAAAGCGUGGGGAGCGAACGGG